UGCUUUUAGAUGACAGUGAUCUUCACCUCAUC
rnacentral:piRNA from 1 species